UACGGGGGGGGCAAGCGUUGUUCGGAAUUACUGGGCGUAAAGGGCUCGUAGGCGGCCAACUAAGUCAGACGUGAAAUCCCUCGGCUUAACCGGGGAACUGCGUCUGAUACUGGAUGGCUUGAGUUUGGGAGAGGGAUGCGGAAUUCCAGGUGUAGCGGUGAAAUGCGUAGAUAUCUGGAGGAACACCGGUGGCGAAGGCGGCUCUCUGGGACGGUACUGACGCUGAGACGCGAAAGCGUGGGGAGCGAAACAGG
rnacentral:rRNA from 1 species